rnacentral:rRNA from 1 species
GGGAUUGCCCUAGUAACGGCGAGUGAAGCGGCAAUAGCUCAAAUUUGAAAUCUGGCCCUUUCAGGGUCCGAGUUGUAAUUUGUAGAGGGUGCUUUGGAGUCGGCAGCGGUCUAAGUUCCUUGGAACAGGACAUCACAGAGGGUGAGAAUCCCGUACGUGGUCGCCUUGCCUUCGCCAUGUAAAGCCCCUUCGACGAGUCGAGUUGUUUGGGAAUGCAGCUCUAAAUGGGAGGUAAAUUUCUUCUAAAGCUAAAUACUGGCCAGAGACCGAUAGCGCACAAGUAGAGUGAUCGAAAGAUGAAAAGCACUUUGGAAAGAGAGUCAAAAAGCACGUGAAAUUGUUGAAAGGGAAGCGCUGGCAGCCAGACUUGCCUGUAGUUGCUCAUCUAGGCUCUUGCCUGGUGUACUCUUCUGCAGGCAGGCCAGCAUCAGUUUGGGCGGUUGGAGAAUGGCCUCUGUCACGUAUCUCUCUUCGGAGAGACCUUAUAGGGGAGGCGUAAUGCAACCAGCCUGGACUGAGGUCCGCGCAUCUGCUAGGAUGCUGGCGUAAUGGCUGUCAGCGGCCCGUCUUGAAACACGGACCAAGGAGUCUAACAUCUAUGCGAGUGUUUGGGUGUCAAGCCCGAGCGCGCAAUGAAAGUGAACGGAGGUGGGAACCCUCUUGGGGGUGCACCAUCGACCGAUCCUGAUGUCUUCGGAUGGAUUUGAGUAAGAGCAUAGCUGUUGGGACCCGAAAGAUGGUGAACUAUGCUUGAAUAGGGUGAAGCCAGAGGAAACUCUGGUGGAAGCUCGCAGCGGUUCUGACGUGCAAAUCGAUCGUCAAAUUUGGGCAUAGGGGCGAAAGACUAAUCG